CAGCAGCCGCGGGAAUACGUAGGUGGCAAGCGUUGUCCGGAAUUAUUGGGCGUAAAGCGCGCGCAGGCGGAUCGGUCAGUCUGUCUUAAAAGUUCGGGGCUUAACCCCGUGAUGGGAUGGAAACUGCCAAUCUAGAGUAUCGGAGAGGAAAGUGGAAUUCCUAGUGUAGCGGUGAAAUGCGUAGAUAUUAGGAAGAACACCAGUGGCGAAGGCGACUUUCUGGACGAAAACUGACGCUGAGGCGCGAAAGCCAGGGGAGCGAACGGGAUUAGAUACCCCUGUAGUCCCUGUCUCUUAUACA
rnacentral:rRNA from 1 species